AUUGAACGCUGGCGGCAGGCCUAACACAUGCAAGUCGAACGAGUGGCGGACGGGUGAGUAAUGUCUUGGAAACUGCCCGAUGGAGGGGGCUAACUACUGGAAACGGUAGCUAAUACCGCAUACCAUCGGAUGUGCCCAGAUGGGAUUGGCUAGUUGGUGGGGUAACGGUUCACCUAGGCGAAGAUCCCUAGCUGGUCUGAUAGAAUGACCAGCCACAUUGGAACUUAGACACGGUCCGUAUGCCUAAGGGAGGCAGAAGUGGGGAAUAUUGCACAAUGUGCGCAAGCCUGAUCAAGCCAUGCUGCGUGGAUGAAGAAGGCCUUCGGGUUGUAAAGUACUUUAAGCGAGGAGGCGGUACUCGCAGAAGAAGCACCGGCUAACUCCGUGCCAGCAGCCGCGGUAAUAC
rnacentral:rRNA from 1 species